rnacentral:rRNA from 1 species
UCAGGUAGAGAAUACCAAGGCGCUUGAGAGAACUCGGGUGAAGGAACUAGGCAAAAUGGUGCCGUAACUUCGGGAGAAGGCACGCUGAUGUGUAGGUGAAGCCCCUGCGGGCGGAGCUGAAAUCAGUCGAAGAUACCAGCUGGCUGCAACUGUUUAUUAAAAACACAGCACUGUGCAAACACGAAAGUGGACGUAUACGGUGUGACGCCUGCCCGGUGCCGGA